GACGUAGGGUGCAAGCGUUGUCCGGAAUUAUUGGGCGUAAAGAGCUCGUAGGCGGUCUGUCGCGUCUGCUGUGAAAACUCAGGGCUUAACCCUGAGCUUGCAGUGGGUACGGGCAGACUAGAGUGCGGUAGGGGAGACUGGAAUUCCUGGUGUAGCGGUGAAAUGCGCAGAUAUCAGGAGGAACACCGGUGGGCGAAGGCGGGUCUCUGGGCCGAUGACU
rnacentral:rRNA from 1 species